ACAAAACAAAGCGACACUGAAGCAGGAUGCUGCGCCGCUGGAGGACAGGGGCCAAGGGACGCAAGAAAUACGACUCCGGGACUGGAAAUGGAUGGGAAAUGGAUUCUCCAGAGACAGCAAGGCCCCAGCAACACCUGGAUUUGGGUCCAUGAAACUGAUUUUGGACUUCUGACUUCCAGAACUAUCUAAUCAAAUAACUCAGGGUCAAAUAGAAGGACCCUGCCUUCCUCUCAGAAUCCAGUAAACUCUGUCCCUCAAGCACCCAUCUAGGACUGGGCCUUUCAGAAUUGUAUUUGCCAUCACCUCUACCUUGCCCUAUGUGCCAGAGCUGAGAGCUGCAUGUGAGUCCCAAGGUCUUUUAGGCUGACAGUGCGAUGGACUGCAUAGUAACUUCUGUGUCCUGCACGUAUACCUCCAGAUGAGUUCCUGGAAAUAAUCUGAAGUAACUGGAAAACCACAAAAGGAGAAGGAAUGACCAACCCCUGAGGUGCCUAAUUAACUUGAGAUAUUGUUCCUUAUUCCUACCUCAACUGAUAAGGCAAUUGAACUUUGUAACCAACCUUGGCCAACUUCAUGACU